rnacentral:rRNA from 1 species
GAUGAACGCUGGCGGUCUGCUUAACACAUGCAAGUCGAACGAACUCUUCGGAGUGGAAAGUGGCGAAAGGGUGAGUAACGCGUGAGUAACUUGCCUCCAAAUCGAGGAUAACAGUUGGAAACGACUGCUAAUACUGGAUGUGAUUUUGGUGUCGCAUGACACCUUUAUUAAAGAUCCGUUGUUUGGAGAUAGGCUCGCGUCCCAUUAGUUGUUGGUAAGGUAACGGCUUACCAAGACUUUGACGGGUAGGUGGUCUGAGAGGAUGGUCACCCACACUGGGACUGAGACACUGCCCAGACUCCUGCGGGAGGCUGCAGUCGAGAUCUUCCGCAAUGCGCGAAAGCGUGACGGAGCAAUGCCG